CGAGGGUGAGACGGAGCGUGAGAUCCACAGGCGGUAAUGCUUUCGAUUUACCAGCUUUGGGUAGACAGAAAGCAUGACAUCGCGGAUACGAGCGGCCGGCGUGAGUUUCACCGUAGGGCGUCUGGGCUCAGCCUUGGCGAGAGGGGAAGGAGCUCAGGCAUCCGGAGGGAGCUCGGCGUAGAGCCGCUGCUCCUUCGCGCCAUCUGAUCAGGAGCCUUCCUUUUGGGGUUUUCCGGGCUCGUCCAACUGGCAGGAGACCCCGGGGUAGACCCAGGACACCCAGAACAUCUCAUCUGGCCUGGGAAAGGCUCGGGAUCCUCCAGGAGGAGCUGGGAAACGUUGCUGGGGAGGGGGACGUCUGGACCACCUUGCUUAGCCUGCUGCCGGCCCCGGAUAAGAGGCACAAAAUGGGUGGAUGGAUGUAAACGAUGCUCACAGAUCACUUUAUGAAAAUCAAAAAUCGGCUCAUGGCAGAAAUGACGAGCCCGGACCGGGCAGAGAGUCCUGGGUCUGCUACACUUGUUGAAAUAUCUCAGAAACAGAUCAGGUGAUGCUCAGUGUCGGUGUUACCUGGCAGAACUCUGUGACGAUGCAGAAGGCGUCUCUCUCCAGGAAGCUGUGGUAGAAGGUGAGGAUGGCCGGGU